rnacentral:rRNA from 1 species
GAUGAACGCUGGCGGCGUGCCUAAUACAUGCAAGUCGAGCGAACAGACGAGGAGCUUGCUCCUCUGACGUUAGCGGCGGACGGGUGAGUAACACGUGGAUAACCUACCUAUAAGACUGGGAUAACUUCGGGAAACCGGAGCUAAUACCGGAUAAUAUAUUGAACCGCAUGGUUCAAUAGUGAAAGACGGUUUUGCUGUCACUUAUAGAUGGAUCCGCGCCGCAUUAGCUAGUUGGUAAGGUAACGGCUUACCAAGGCGACGAUGCGUAGCCGACCUGAGAGGGUGAUCGGCCGCACUGGAACUGGGACACGGUCCAGACUCCUACGGGAGGCAGCAGUAGGGAAUCUUCCGCAAUGGGCGAAAGCCUGACGGAGCAACGCCGCGUGAGUGAUGAAGGUCUUCGGAUCGUAAAACUCUGUUAUUAGGGAAGAACAAAUGUGUAAGUAACUAUGCACGUCUUGACGGUACCUAAUCAGAAAGCCACGGCUAACUACGUG